GAUGAACGCUGGCGGCGUGCCUAAUACAUGCAAGUCGAGCGAACAGACGAGGAGCUUGCUCCUCUGACGUUAGCGGCGGACGGGUGAGUAACACGUGGGUAACCUACCUAUAAGACUGGGAUAACUUCGGGAAACCGGAGCUAAUACCGGAUAAUAUAUCGAACCGCAUGGUUCGAUAGUGAAAGACGGCUCUGCUGUCACUUAUAGAUGGACCUGCGCCGCAUUAGCUAGUUGGUAAGGUAACGGCUUACCAAGGCAACGAUACGUAGCCGACCUGAGAGGGUGAUCGGCCACACUGGAACUGAGACACGGUCCAGACUCCUACGGGAGGCAGCAGUAGGGAAUCUUCCGCAAAGGGCGAAAGCCUGACGGAGCAACGCCGCGUGAGUGAUGAAGGUCUUCGGAUCGUAAAACUCUGUUAUUAGGGAAGAACAAACGUGUAAGUAACUGUGCACGUCUUGACGGUACCUAAUCAGAAAGCCACGGCUAACUACGUG
rnacentral:rRNA from 1 species